rnacentral:rRNA from 1 species
UACGUAGGGAGCGAGCGUUGUCCGGAUUCAUUGGGCGUAAAGAGCUCGUAGGCGGCUUGGUAAGUCGGAUGUGAAACCUCCAGGCUCAACCCCGGGCCUGCAUUCGAUACGGGCAGACUAGAGUUCGGUAGGGGAGUCUGGAAUUCCUGGUGUAGCGGUGAAAUGCGCAGAUAUCAGGAGGAACACCGGUGGCGAAGGCGGGACUCUGGGCCGGUACUGACGCUGAGACGCGAAAGCGUGGGGAGCGAACAGG